GAUGAACGCUAGCGGGAGGCUUAACACAUGCAAGUCGAGGGGCAGCAUAGGGUAGCAAUACUCUGAUGGCGACCGGCAAACGGGUGAGUAACGCGUAUGUAACCUACCCUGUACAGGGGGAUAACCCGGAGAAAUUCGGACUAAUAUCCCAUAACAAUAUCCGGGGGCAUCUUUGGAUAUUUAAAGUUCCGGCGGUACGGGAUGGGCAUGCGUAACAUUAGCUAGUUGGUAAGGUAACGGCUUACCAAGGCUUUGAUGUUUAGGGGUCCUGAGAGGGUGGUCCCCCACACUGGUACUGAGACACGGACCAGACUCCUACGGGAGGCAGCAGUGAGGAAUAUUGGUCAAUGGGCGCAAGCCUGAACCAGCCAUCCCGCGUGCAGGAAGACGGCGCUAUGCGUUGUAAACUGCUUUUCCAGGGAGAGAAACUUGCGCACGUGUUGCGCAAUUGACGGUACCCUGGGAAUAAGCAUCGGCUAACUCCGUGCCAGCAGCCGCGGUAAAACGUGCGUG
rnacentral:rRNA from 1 species